GCGGUGGAUGAUGUGGUUUAAUUCGAUGCAACGCGAAAACCUUACCCACCUUUGACAUGUACGGAAUCCUUUAGAGAUAGAGGAGUGCUCGAAAGAGAGCCGUAACACAGGUGCUGCAUGGCUGUCGUCAGCUCGUGUCGUGAGAUGUUGGGUUAAGUCCCGCAACGAGCGCAACCCUUGUCAUUAGUUGCUACAUUCAGUUUGGGGCACUCUAAUGAGACUGCCGGUGACAAACCGGAGGAAGUGGGGAUGACGUCAAGUCCUCAUGGCCCUUAUAGGUGGGGCUACACACGUCAUACAAUGGAUGGUACAAAGGGUCGCCAACCCGCGAGGGGGAGCCAAUCCCAUAAAGCCAUUCGUAGUCCGGAUUGGAGUCUGCAACUCGACUCCAUGAAGUUGGAAUCGCUAGUAAUCGCGGAUCAGCACGCCGCGGUGAAUACGUUCCCGGGCCUU
rnacentral:rRNA from 1 species